rnacentral:rRNA from 1 species
AACGAACGCUGGCGGCAUGCCUAACACAUGCAAGUCGAACGAGACCUUCGGGUCUAGUGGCGCACGGGUGCGUAACGCGUGGGAACCUGCCCUUAGGUUCGGAAUAACUCCCCGAAAGGGGUGCUAAUACCGGAUAAUGUCUUCGGACCAAAGAUUUAUCGCCUUUGGAUGGGCCCGCGUUGGAUUAGCUAGUUGGUAGGGUAAAAGCCUACCAAGGCGUCGAUCCAUAGCUGGUCUGAGAGGAUGAUCAGCCACACUGGGACUGAGACACGGCCCAGACUCCUACGGGAGGCAGCAGUGGGGAAUAUUGGAUAAUGGGCGAAAGCCUGAUCCAGCAAUGCCGCGUGAGUGAUGAAGGCCUUAGGGUUGUAAAGCUCUUUUACCCGGGAUGAUAAUGACAGUACCGGGAGAAUAAGCUCCGGCUAACUCCGUG